ACUCACUGAGCCACCUAGUUACCCCUACAGUUAUAUUUUAAAGAAGAUUUUUUGUUAAAAGACACAACUUACUAUCUUUUCCUAAGUAUCUGAGUUAAAAAUCUUUGGGAGUGGCCAAUUGAAUAUAAAUUUAAAAUUCUUCCACAUAAACAAGUUCUGGGAGAUUCUUCUUUAGUUUUUAUUUAUGGUACUGGAUAAAAGAAACAUAACAGACUGUUUCUAGGACAUAAGAGUGGUACAAGAACACAUAAUAAGCUUGAGGUCUUACAAAUUAGAUUGAUUGAGCAAAAUACUUUCUGUUUUUAAAUAAAAAUUUCAAGGAAUGCAACAUUUGGGGAAGUGUCUCGAGUAUACCUAAUUAUCAACAAGAAGUUUCUAGGUGUCAGUGGCCAGAAAAAGUUAAUCUGUUUUCCUGCUUCAGUAAUUCCCAUGGAGUAAGAUACUGGAAAAAAUGGCUGAAAGUGUAGAUUUAUAAAGCAGGAGUUGUAACAAACAGUUAAUAGGUAAAUGUCCAUUUGACUGUUUAAAAUCUAUGUAUGAAAGGAAUCCUAGUUGCAAAAACAGACAAACAAAAUGUAUAUAAUCCAGAGUGGGUAUAUCACUAUUGUGUGUUCUAAAAAUCCCAUCUUUUUUUUUUUUUUUUUAAUGCCAAGUAAGACUGACACAUGGAAUUCAUUACAUUCUAGCUAAUGGUUUCAGUCAAAUUUAUAACAGAGCUGAGUAGGCAGCGAGCAUUUCUGGACCUGUGUCUCCAAUCACAGGGAACCCAGAGACACAAGCAUUCACACACAGAGGAAAUUCGGUGCCCAGACUACUGAAGGCUAAUUCCUCUGCCACCUACAUUUUUCACUCCCAUGAAUAAAAUAAGUUGUUUUGUUUUAAAAAAUUAAUUUAGCCUCUGUGAAAGGCCAAAAUAAAGGAUUGGUAGGAUAUAUGAUAUUGUAGGAUAAAUGGUGUUGAUUUUUGUUUUAGCUUUGCACCAUGGUAAGUUCAGAGUAGAGUCUGAUAAAAUGGAAGGAAAACACUAGAUUUCUUGAUUAUGACAUUGCAGGAUAUGCUUUUAAAACAGUUUAUAUGUGGAAGAAAUAAGAAACAGUGAUUUAUUGACACUGGAAGUGAAAAUUUGUGCUCAUUCUUUUUUCGUGCAUUCAAGUAUGAUUUGAAGUUGAUAUUUAUCUAGCUACUUUUUAAAUUCUCAUUUUUAUUUGGAGAAGUUUGUUAAUUUUUCUCCGCUAUUUAACCUAUUUUGUUAACUUCAGUGAACUGAACUGUUGUUUUCUUUGGGAUGUGGAGAUUGGUGAAAAGAACUCUGCGUGAGUGUUGGUUAAAUGUCUUUCUUUUUGCAAGGAUACUUUGAAGAGAAUCAGAGACAAACUUCCUGUAAGCUGUGGAUUCUGUUGGAAGAGCGGUGGGGAAAUUCUUUGCCUGUGUGUGCAGUUUUGGCCUGCAGGGGGCAGCCAAAUGCAGCGAAGCUAAAAGAGCUGGCAUACAGCGCCCUGUUUUCAUGCUACCUGAGUAACCCUAGUUCAGGAAAAUGCAGCGAAAGCCAAAGUAAGCACUCCUACCCCAUCUGUCACUGCGUGGAAGAGAGCUGAGGCAGCCAUAUUUAAUCAACACUGAAGUCUCCCCCUGGGUGAUGUUCGUGCCCUUCUGUAAUAUUUUAUUCUAAGUCAUUUCCCAGACAGCAUUAUUGAUUCGUGUCAUUAUUCUCCCCCAAGCUCCGGGAGCUUGUGCAAUGUGAUACCAACUGCAGAUCUCUUCGUGAACAUAACCUCAGAACUGAAAGAUUAUAAAAAACCUGAAGCUGUGUUGGGACAAGGAACUGGCGCUCCCUGUUGCAUCUGGAAUUCAAACUCAUGUCUAUCUGAAUCCAGAGUCUGGAAUCUAAAUAUCACACUGUGAUAAUGUACAGGGAUGGACAAGCGGAAGAUGACGGUUGCCAGACUGACCCAUUUCUUAGUUUGCAAUCGCUUCCUGAAAAUGUGUUCGGAGCAGUCAUUCUCCAUUGUGGGGGAUUUUGCCUCUCAUGGAAUAUUGGAACCCGUCCGCAGCCUUUGUCCCAACGCUGGGGGAUGGCUCUAUGGGCAUCUAACGGAGGGGCACAGAAACGUAUUGUCUCAUGGUUCUGGAAGCUGGAAGUCCAAGACCCUGGUAGAAGCAGGCUUGCUUCUUGCUAAGGUA